rnacentral:rRNA from 1 species
GUGCCAGCCGCCGCGGUAAUACGUAGGUGGCAAGCGUUGUCCGGAUUUAUUGGGCGUAAAGGGAGCGCAGGCGGUGACUUAAGUCUGAUGUGAAAGCCCACGGCUCAACCGUGGAAGGUCAUUGGAAACUGGGUCACUUGAGUGCAGAAGAGGAAAGUGGAAUUCCAUGUGUAGCGGUGAAAUGCGUAGAUAUAUGGAGGAACACCAGUGGCAAAGGCGACUUUCUGGUCUGUAACUGACGCUGAGGCUCGAAAGCGUGGGGAGCAAACAGGAUUAGAUA